rnacentral:tRNA from 1 species
GCAUUGGUAGUUCAGUGAUAGAAUUCUCACCUUCCAUGUGGGAGAUCCUGGUUCAAUUCCUGCCAGUGUA